rnacentral:rRNA from 1 species
AGCAAAUCCCAAAAAUAACGUCCCAGUUCGGACUGUAGUCUGCAACCCGACUACACGAAGCUGGAAUCGCUAGUAAUCGCGAAUCAGAAUGUCGCGGUGAAUACGUUCCCGGGUCUUGUACACACCGCCCGUCACACCAUGGGAGUUUGUAACGCCCAAAGUCGGUGGCCUAACCUUUAUGGAGGGAGCCGCCUAAGGCGGGACAGAUGACUGGGGUGAAGUCGUAACAAGGUAAC